rnacentral:misc_RNA from 1 species
GAUGAAGAACGUAGCGAAAUGCGAUAAGUAAUGUGAAUUGCAGAAUUUAGUGAAUCAUCGAAUCUUUGAACGCACAUUGCGCCCACUGGUAUUCCGGUGGGCAUGCCUGUUCGAGCGUCAUUAUCCUCCCUCAAACCCCGGGUUUGGUGUUGGACCCAAGUUGUGUGAACAACUGGUCUCAAAGACAAUGACGGCGUCCGUGGGACCCUCGGUGCAACGAGCUUUUAGGAGCACGCAUCGAGUUGCAAGGACCUUCCGGGCCGGUCUCCUUUACCAUUUUACAAGGUUGACCUCGGAUCAGGUAGGAAUACCCGCUGAACUUAAGCAUAUCAAUAAGCGGAGGA